rnacentral:rRNA from 1 species
CAGUAGCCGCGGGAAUACGAAGGGUGCAAGCGUUAAUCGGAAUUACUGGGCGUAAAGCGCGCGUAGGUGGUUCAUUAAGUUGGAUGUGAAAGCCCUGGGCUCAACCUGGGAACUGCAUCCAAAACUGGUGAGCUAGAGUACGGUAGAGGGUAGUGGAAUUUCCUGUGUAGCGGUGAAAUGCGUAGAUAUAGGAAGGAACACCAGUGGCGAAGGCGACUACCUGGACUGAUACUGACACUGAGGUGCGAAAGCGUGGGGAGCAAACAGGAUUAGAUACCCCAGUAGUCCCUGUCUCUUAUAA